rnacentral:rRNA from 1 species
UAGUGGCGAACGGGUGAGUAACACGUGGGCAAUCUGCCCUUCACUCUGGGACAAGCCCUGGAAACGGGGUCUAAUACCGGAUAACACCUGCCCGGGCAUCCGGGNGGGUUAAAAGCUCCGGCGGUGAAGGAUGAGCCCGCGGCCUAUCAGCUUGUUGGUGAGGUAGUGGCUCACCAAGGCGACGACGGGUAGCCGGCCUGAGAGGGCGACCGGCCACACUGGGACUGAGACACGGCCCAGACUCCUACGGGAGGCAGCAGUGGGGAAUAUUGCACAAUGGGCGAAAGCCUGAUGCAGCGACGCCGCGUGAGGGAUGACGGCCUUCGGGUUGUAAACCUCUUUCAGCAGGGAAGAAGCGAAAGUGACGGUACCUGCAGAAGAAGCGCCGGCUAACUACGUGCCAGCAGCCGCGGUAAUACGUAGGGCGCAAGCGUUGUCCGGAAUUAUUGGGCGUAAAGAGCUCGUAGGCGGCUUGUCACGUCGGGUGUGAAAGCCCGGGGCUUAACCCCGGGUCUGCAUUCGAUACGGGCUANCUAGAGUGUGGUAGGGGAAGAUCGGAAUUCCU